AAUAGAUACCCUGGUAGUCCUAGCCGUAAACGAUGGACACUAGGUGUUGGUGGUAUCAACCCCGCCAGUGCCGAAGCUAACGCAUUAAGUGUCCCGCUUGGGGAGUACGGCCGCAAGGCUAAAACUCAAAGGAAUUGACGGGGCCCCGCACAAGCAGCGGAGCGUGGGGUUUAAUUCGACGCAACGCGAAGAACCUUACCAGCUCUUGACAUGGGGAUUCUGGGUUUCAGAGAUGAGACCCUUCAGUUCGGCUGGGUCCCACACAGGUGCUGCAUGGCUGUCGUCAGCUCGUGUCGUGGGAUGUUGGGUUAAGUCCCGCAACGAGCGCAACCCCUAUCUUCAGUUACCAUCAGGUUAUGCUGGGGACUCUGGAGAGACCGCCGGUGAUAAGCCGGAGGAAGGCAGGGAUGACGUCAAGUCCUCAUGGCCCUUAUGGGCUGGGCUACACACGUGCUACAAUGGCGGUGACAGAGGGAAGCAAAGGGGUGACCUGGAGCCAAUCCCAAAAAGCCGUCUCAGUUCGGAUUGUUCUCUG
rnacentral:rRNA from 1 species